rnacentral:rRNA from 1 species
AACGAGCGGCGGACGGGUGAGUAACACGUGGGCAACCUACCUGUGAGACGGGGAUAACUCCGGGAAACCGGGGCUAAUACCGGAUAACGCAUCGAACCGCAUGGUUCGAUGAUCAAAGAUGGCUUCUAGCUAUCACUCACAGAUGGGCCCGCGGCGCAUUAGUUAGUUGGUGAGGUAAAGGCUCACCAAGGCGACGAUGCGUAGCCGACCUGAGAGGGUGAUCGGCCACACUGGGACUGAGACACGGCCCAGACUCCUACGGGAGGCAGCAGUAGGGAAUCAUCCGCAAUGGACGCAAGUCUGACGGUGCAACGCCGCGUGAGCGAUGAAGGUCUUCGGAUCGUAAAGCUCUGUUGUGAGGGAAGAACAAGUGCCGUUCGAAUAGGGCGGCACCUUGACGGUACCUCACCAGAAAGCCCCGGCUAACUACGUGCCAGCAGCCGCGGUAAUACGUAGGGGGCAAGCGUUGUCCGGAAUUAUUGGGCGUAAAGCGCGCGCAGGCGGUUCCUUAAGUCUGAUGUGAAAGGCCACAGCUCAACUGUGGAGGGCCAUUGGAAACUGGGGAACUUGAGGACAGAAGAGGAGAGCGGAAUUCCACGUGUAGCGGUGAAAUGCGUAGAUAUGUGGAGGAACACCAGUGGCGAAGGCGGCUCUCUGGUCUGUAACUGACGCUGAGGCGCGAAAGCAUGGGUAGCGAACAGGAUUAGAUACCCUGGUAGUCCAUGCCGUAAACGUUGAGUGCUAGGUGUUAGGGGGUCCAACCCUUAGUGCUGCAGUUAACGCAAUAAGCACUCCGCCUGGGGAGUACGGCCGCAAGGCUGAAACUCAAAGGAAUUGACGGGGGCCUGCACAAGCGGUGGAGCAUGUGGUUUAAUUCGACGCAACGCGAAGAACCUUACCAGGUCUUGACAUCUUCGGACAGCCCAAGAGAUUGGGUCUUCCCUUCGGGGACCGAAUGACAGGUGGUGCAUGGUUGUCGUCAGCUCGUGUCGUGAGAUGUUGGGUUAAGUCCCGUAACGAGCGCAACCCCUGAUCUUAGUUGCCAGCAUUGAGUUGGGCAC